rnacentral:rRNA from 1 species
GAAAGCUUGCUUUCUUGCUGACGAGUGGCGGACGGGUGAGUAAUGCUUGGGAAUCUGGCUUAUGGAGGGGGAUAACGACGGGAAACUGUCGCUAAUACCGCGUAUUAUCGGAAGAUGAAAGUGCGGGACUGAGAGGCCGCAUGCCAUAGGAUGAGCCCAAGUGGGAUUAGGUAGUUGGUGGGGUAAAUGCCUACCAAGCCUGCGAUCUCUAGCUGGUCUGAGAGGAUGACCAGCCACACUGGAACUGAGACACGGUCCAGACUCCUACGGGAGGCAGCAGUGGGGAAUAUUGCGCAAUGGGGGGAACCCUGACGCAGCCAUGCCGCGUGAAUGAAGAAGGCCUUCGGGUUGUAAGGUUCUUUCGGUAUUGAGGAAGGUUGAUGUGUUAAUAGCACAUCAAAUUGAC